GCCGGUGUAGCUCAGUGGUAGAGCACUCGAUUCGUAAUCGAGCGGCCACGAGUUCAAAUCUCGUCACCGGCU
rnacentral:tRNA from 1 species